ensembl:lincRNA 4933406K04Rik RIKEN cDNA 4933406K04 gene
CCUCCGUGACGUACUUCCUAGGCUGCAGCACCUAAACCAACUGCUUUCCUCAGGGAGACCAACAUCUCAUUCAAACCACGGCAGCCUGCAAAAGCUAGGCUUCGUUCUUGUGUGUGUGUCCAGGAUCUUUCGUGGGCCCAAAGAGCUGGAGAGGGUCUUUACUGCCUUACCGCUGGUAUUUGCCACAGAAGCAGAAGCGAAGACCUCACAUCAUGAUGCUGGCUUCUGCUGCAUGUAAAGGCUAUGCUGUGGUGCUGUGAUAUGAGUUAUAUGUGCCAUAGCAUGCAGAGAAAGAAUAUUUGAUUAAGGACCAAGAUAUCUUACAGAAGAAAGGGUUUACAGUUCCAGAGUGAUGAGCAUUCAUGGUGACAGAGUUGAAGCAUAAAGCAUGACAGCAGGUGACAGGCAAGACAAGGAGGAAACUGAGAGCUCACACUUGACAAAGCAGAGAAUGGGAAUUGGAGUGUAAACUGAAGACCAGAAGCUGACCUUUGGAGACAUCUAGUCCAGCAGAGCAGCUGCUGCAUUCUCAGUAUCUUCAACGUGAGACAACCAUGUCGGAAAACCCAACCCAUAUCACUUUCAGGUUCUGAUGUCGCCGUCUGGCCUAAAGCCCCUGCAUGCACUGGUGCUACUGCGUAUGAACUCACAUAAGCGCACGCAAACACAUAAAAACAGCAAGAUAAAGUUUCACAUCGAAACAUUCGCACCACAGCAUGGACGCUUCUCUCUGCACUUGGACAUAUUUUCAGUGGAAUGAGAAUACAGACAAAAAGAGUCAGAUGCUCCUGUCAAUGCCUGCCUGUGGAUGCCAUCACCUCCGUCGGCCACGAGUUCACGGGAAGCAGAUCCCUGAUCAUCUCACACCUCACCACGGUCAUCUAGGCUAGAUGAAAUAGCUCUUCUGCCUUGAAAGAUCUCCCGAGUGUGUGUCAGCCACCCGUGAGUCCAAAGCCUUCACAGUACUUACCAACAGACUCACUUCUCUGGAAACGGCCUCAACUUUUCGAUUAUUAUUAGGAAUGUUUUGAAUUUUUAUGUUAAUGGCAGAGAGAAAGUAGAACAAAGAAGAAACGGGCCUGUCAUCUAAGCUGAGACGAUAAUCAAUAAUGAAAACACAGGAAUGGCGCGGCCUCGUCGUCUAUGCACAUAUAUUUUAUGGGGUUAGGUUCACACUCUCCUGAGACUGUUGAAGUCUGUGUUUGGACCCCAAGUCUCAAGAUCCAAUUCCCCCCAUUUCAUUAAUAUUUCUUUGUAAUCGUAGCCUAAUACUGAUCUAUGAUAUUUUGCCUAAUUGUUCACCUCUUUCGGGCAUUUUAUAACCUCCUUUUUGUCCCCCCUCUUCCUGACUGUAGGUCGUGCUUAAAUAAACCAAUUCGUACAAGUAGC